AGCUCCAGUAGCGUAUAUUAAAGUUGUUGCAGUUAAAAAGCUCGUAGUUGGAUUUCUGGCUUGACAGCGCUGAUCCGCCCUUAGUGGUGAGUGUCGGUUGUUCUGUCUGCCAUCCUUCCACAGCGCUAGUCUACCUUUCAUUAGGACGGGCUAGCAAUGUGGAACUUUUACUUUGAAAAAAUUAGAGUGUUCAAAGCAGGCCUUUGCCAUUGAAUACAUUAGCAUGGAAUAAUAAUUUAGGACUUUGGUUCUAUUUUGUUGGUUUUCAGAUCCAAAGUAAUGAUUGAUAGGGAUAGUUGGGGGUGCUAGUAUUCAGCGGCCAGAGGUGAAAUUCUUGGAUUCGCUGAAGACUAACUUAUGCGAAAGCAUUCACCAAGGAUGUCUUCUUUAAUCAAGAACG
rnacentral:rRNA from 1 species